rnacentral:misc_RNA from 1 species
GCAAACUUGGUCAUUUAGAGGAAGUAAAAGUCGUAACAAGGUUUCCGUAGGUGAACCUGCGGAAGGAUCAUUAACGAGUUGAGGGUUUCGACCCAAACCUCCCAUCCUUAUGUUGACUUGUACCAUGUUGCUUUGGCGGGCCCGUCAUUAAUUUGACCGCCGGGGAGAUUUAAUUAUUUCCCGGGCCAGUUUGCCCGCCAAUAGCCCUAAACUUCAAAACUCUUUGUUAAAAACUUUGAAAUUCUUGGUUAAAGAUUUGAAUAAAUCAAAACUUUCAACAACGGAUCUCUUGGUUCUGGCAUCGAUGAAGAACGCAGC